rnacentral:rRNA from 1 species
CGUUCAGGGGUAAACCUAAGAAACCCAAAAGAUCGAACGGGGGAGAUUCAUCGUCAGCGGAGCUGGCUUCGCGUCGGUGGGCGAUGACCCCGCGGUGUCCUCCGUGGCACGCGCGCGGGCACGCUACCGUGCGCCGAUGUCCGGUUCUCGUCGUCGUGCACUUCUCCCCUAGUAGAACGUCGCGACCCGCUGGGUGUCGGUCCACGGCCCGGGUGCGGUGACUGUCGCGUCGCCCGUAAAAACGGCGCGCGGCAAACCCUCGGUCGCCCGGCCGGCUGCCCGGCGGCACACGCACGGUAUCAGGCCGCACCAACGGUGCGUCGAGAAGUAGUCGGGCGCGCGUCAGAAUCCCGGAGGUACGGACUCGGCGCCGUCCCCGGUCCUGGCGCGUUCGCGCCGCACGUGUCUAUAAAAGGGUAGACCUUCGACUGGCCUUGCUUCCUCGCGUGUUGCUCGACAACACGCGACAUACCGGUCGGCGACGCUACUGCUUUGGGUACUCUUAGGACCCGUCUUGAAACACGGACCAAGGAGUCUAACAUGUACGCGAGUCACUGGGACUCGGCGAGACCUAAAGGCGCAAUGAAAGUAAAGAUCGGCCCUGGUUGCCGAUCGAGGGAGGAUGGGUCGCGCGCGCGCUCCUCGCGAGCGCGCCCGGCGGCCCCGCACUCCCGGGGCGUCUCGUUCUCAUCGCGAGAAGAGGCGCACCCAGAGCGUACACGUUGGGACCCGAA